UAACUGACGUUGAACGGGAAUAGUAGAUACGCAGCAUGCUUCAGAGAGAAGGCGGCAGGUGAGAGCCUUUGCAUUACGGUAUGGAACCGGCCCGGGAGUCUCUGUAUGAAAGUACAGCGUAGGUCCUGCGUUAAAGGAGAAGAAAGUGAAUGCAGAUACAGAGAUCAUUUGUAUUGGUUUUGAUUAUAGAAUGGAUGUAUUGCAUUAAUUAGGGUGGUACCGCCGGAGAUAUUCGGUCCCUAUC
rfam:Ruminococcus sp. CAG:9-related_41_34 Ley3_66761_scaffold_4916, whole genome shotgun sequence.